GAUGAACGCUAGCGGCAGGCUUAACACAUGCAAGUCGAACGCAUCGCAAGAUGAGUGGCAGACGGGUGAGUAACGCGUGGGAAUCUACCUAGUUCUACGGAACAACAGUUGGAAACGACUGCUAAUACCGUAUACGCCCUACGGGGGAAAGAUUUAUCGGAAUUAGAUGAGCCCGCGUAAGAUUAGCUAGUUGGUGGGGUAAUGGCCUACCAAGGCGACGAUCUUUAGCUGGUCUGAGAGGAUGAUCAGCCACACUGGGACUGAGACACGGCCCAGACUCCUACGGGAGGCAGCAGUGGGGAAUAUUGGACAAUGGGCGCAAGCCUGAUCCAGCCAUGCCGCGUGAGUGAUGAAGGCCUUAGGGUUGUAAAGCUCUUUCACCGAUGAAGAUAAUGACGGUAGUCGGAGAAGAAGCCCCGGCUAACUUCGUGCCAGCCGCCGCGGUAAAAC
rnacentral:rRNA from 1 species